rnacentral:tRNA from 1 species
UCCCACGUAUUCUAGUGGUUAGGAUACCUGGCUCUCACCCAGGAGGCUCUGGUUUGAUUCCCGGUGUGGGAA